rnacentral:rRNA from 1 species
AACGAACGCUGGCGGCAUGCCUAACACAUGCAAGUCGAACGAAGGCUUCGGCCUUAGUGGCGCACGGGUGCGUAACGCGUGGGAAUCUGCCCUUUGGUUCGGAAUAACAGCUGGGAACGGCUGCUAAUACCGGAUGAUGACGAAAGUCCAAAGAUUUAUCGCCAGAGGAUGAGCCCGCGUUGGAUUAGGUAGUUGGUGGGGUAAAGGCCUACCAAGCCGACGAUCCAUAGCUGGUCUGAGAGGAUGAUCAGCCACACUGGGACUGAGACACGGCCCAGACUCCUACGGGAGGCAGCAGUGGGGAAUAUUGGACAAUGGGCGCAAGCCUGAUCCAGCAAUGCCGCGUGAGUGAUGAAGGCCCUAGGGUUGUAAAGCUCUUUUACCCGGGAAGAUAAUGACUGUACCGGGAGAAUAAGCCCCGGCUAACUCCGUG